UUCCUACGGGGGGCAGCAGUGAGGAAUAUUGGUCAAUGGUCGGGAGACUGAACCAGCCAAGCCGCGUGAGGGAUGAAGGUACAGAGUAUCGUAAACCUCUUUUAUAAAGGAAUAAAGUGAGGCACGUGUGCCUUUUUGUAUGUACUUUAUGAAUAAGGAUCGGCUAACUCCGUGCCAGCAGCCGCGGUAAUACGGAGGAUCCGAGCGUUAUCCGGAUUUAUUGGGUUUAAAGGGAGCGUAGAUGGGUUGUUAAGUCAGUUGUGAAAGUUUGCGGCUCAACCGUAAAAUUGCAAUUGAUACUGGCA
rnacentral:rRNA from 1 species